CAAUUCAAUUCAUUCCACUCGCACCUAGCACGCUUUCAGGGCAUUUAAAAUUCUGCUCAAAGGUCGGCCCAGGCCCUUCAGCCUUCCAGGUUGUUUUAGUGCCAUUUGUGCGUUAUUUUUAUAAAGUUACCUCAUGAAUUAUUCAUAAACGAAGCAGACGUAGCGUAAAGUAAGACAAGCAGCAACAAAAAAAUAUAAGAUGUAAAAAAAAUAAAAGGGCAAAAUCGUUAAGUUUUUCCUUCUCUCUAGGAAAACACUCGAGAGAUAGAAGGACAAGUUUUCUGGAGGAAACCUUUAGCAAAUACGAAAAUCUGAUUAAAUUAUGGCAAAGUUUCUAAUUGGUUUGUUAUUAAGACAGCGAUUACCAUAAAUUACAAUUGAAAUGGGGAAAGCAUUCUGCGCCGUUCUGUUCUGUUCCAGAACAAAUGGCUAAGCAAAUUAACUCUGGCCCUGAAAUGAACAAUACAGAGAGCUCUUGGCUCAUGUUUAAUGCACUUGACAGUGCCAGACCCCCGGUUCCUGGUUGCUGGUCGGGAAAACUUCAAGGCAACCCCCAAAAGUUAUGACUUUUACGCCCCAUUAUCGCUUAAAUAAUUUAGUCGGCCAAAGGAAAGGAAAACAACACGAAAAAAGGCAAAAUUGCUAGGAAAAAAAACCCAAGAAAAAAUCUCUCAUAACUUGUGGUCUUUCCAGAGAGAGAGAGAGUGAGAGAGAAGAAAAAGAGUAAACGGGCAAAAAGGCCUGCAUUUAUAAAGAGCCAAAUUAACCGCAAUUAGAUUUUUGGAAAAGCGCGGUCAGAGGAAAAUUACAAUUAACCGUUUUCAGCAUGUGAAAUCUGAAUAAUCAAGUAGCAAGAAGAAAUCCCCGUCGAAGGGAUUGACGCAGCGGCAACGGCCUGGCCAACAAGGUACAGUGCAAACACGCUGACACCCCUCCCCGCCUUCCUGCAAGCAAAGGGUUCGCUAAUUAAAAAAAUAGAAUGUUUUUCGACCUUUAAAGAUGCUGGUGGGACCCCACCUCCUGCUUCGUCUCGUUAACAUCUUCGGAAUGGGAUGGAUUCCUGUGAUGCAUGGCCAUGAAGUGUGAAAAAUUCAGCCUCAUUUUUAAAUAGACGCUCCACCAUUAUUUCAUUUUUCUA